UGGGGAAUAUUGCGCAAUGGGCGAAAGCCUGACGCAGCGACGCCGCGUGAGGGAUGAAGGUUUUCGGAUCGUAAACCUCUGUCAGAAGGGAAGAAGUUAUGCCGUCCCAAUCAGCGGUAUAUUGACGGUAUCUUCAAAGGAAGCACCGGCUAACUCCGUGCCAGCAGCCGCGGUAAUACGGAGGGUGCAAGCGUUAAUCGGAAUUACUGGGCGUAAAGCGCACGUAGGCUGUAUGUCAAGUCAAGGGUGAAAUCCCACGGCUCAACCGUGGAACUGCCUUUGAACUGGCAAACUGGAGUAUGUGAGAGGAUGGCGGAAUUCCUGGUGUAGGAGUGAAAUCCGUAGAUAUCAGGAGGAACAUCAGUGGCGAAGGCGGCCAUCUGGCACAUAACUGACGCUGAGGUGCGAAAGCGUGGGUAGCAAACAGGAUUAGAUACC
rnacentral:rRNA from 1 species